CAUGAAUAGUGCAACGGCUGUGAUUAGAUGGGGCACACCGCAGCAUAUGGAACAUGCAGGAGGGUGGGCCUCAUCCAAUAACAGCUGUUGCAAUAAUCACAAAUGGCCAUGAUUCACAGACAGGCCUCUCGGGUCCAAGCUGGGACUGGCAAGGAGAAUGCAACAAAUUUGCUUCUAGGAAAAAUUUACUGAUCAUAAGUUUACAAAAUAGUCUUACA
rnacentral:lncRNA from 1 species